AUUGAACGCUGGCGGCAGGCCUAACACAUGCAAGUCGAGCGGAAGAAGGGAGCUUGCUCCUGGAUUCAGCGGCGGACGGGUGAGUAAUGCCUAGGAAUCUGCCUGGUAGUGGGGGAUAACGUCCGGAAACGGGCGCUAAUACCGCAUACGUCCUGAGGGAGAAAGUGGGGGAUCUUCGGACCUCACGCUAUCAGAUGAGCCUAGGUCGGAUUAGCUAGUUGGUGGGGUAAAGGCCUACCAAGGCGACGAUCCGUAACUGGUCUGAGAGGAUGAUCAGUCAAACUGGAAGUGAAAUACGGUCCAGACUCCUACGGGAGGCAGCAGUGGGGAAUAUUGGACUAUGGGGGAAAGCCUGAUCCAGCCAUGCCGCGUUUGUGAAGAAGGGCUUCGGAUUGUAAAGCACUUUAAGUUUGGAGGAAGGGCAGUAAGUUAAUCCCUUGCUGUUGUGACGUUACCAACAGAAUAAGCACCGGCUAACUUCGUG
rnacentral:rRNA from 1 species